rnacentral:rRNA from 1 species
GACGAACGCUGGCGGCGUGCUUAACACAUGCAAGUCGAACGGAAAGGCCCUGCUUUUGUGGGGUGCUCGAGUGGCGAACGGGUGAGUAACACGUGAGUAACCUGCCCUUGACUUUGGGAUAACUUCAGGAAACUGGGGCUAAUACCGGAUAGGAGCUCCUGCUGCAUGGUGGGGGUUGGAAAGUUUCGGCGGUUGGGGAUGGACUCGCGGCUUAUCAGCUUGGUGGUGGGGUAGUGGCUUACCAAGGCUUUCCCGGGUAGCCGGCCUGAGAGGGUGACCUGCCACAUUGGGACUGAGAGACGGCCCAGACUCCUACGGGAGGCAGCAGUGGGGAAUAUUGCACUAUGGGCGGAAGCCUGAUGCAGCAACGCCGCGUGCGGGAUGACGGCCUUCGGGUUGUAAACCGCUUUCGCCUGUGACGAAGCGUGAGUGACGGUAAUGGGUAAAGAAGCACCGGCUAACUACGUG